rnacentral:rRNA from 1 species
ACACGUGGUAUCCUGUCUGAAUAUGGGGGGACCAUCCUCCAAGGCUAAAUACUCCUGACUGACCGAUAGUGAACCAGUACCGUGAGGGAAAGGCGAAAAGAACCCCGGCGAGGGGAGUGAAAAAGAACCUGAAACCGUGUACGUACAAGCAGUGGGAGCACCUUAGGGUGUGACUGCGUACCUUUUGUAUAAUGGGUCAGCGACUUAUAUUCUGUAGCAAGGUUAACCGUAUAGGGGAGCCGCAGGGAAACCGAGUCUUUAACU